GGGGACGAAUUGGCAUCGACUGGUGUCAACAACCGAAAGAAAAGCAUGUGAAGCCCCUCUUCUAAAAAGGGAAAACGUCAUUAACUGGCGAAAAUGUAAACUACGCAAUGGCUGCUUGAUCAGCCUGCACUGUUCAGCCGAGACGCAUCCGGUAAGCUGAGCGGUAAACUACGGAAGCUGGGUUUUGCGACGCAGAUACACAAGACCGAGAAAAUUCUGCUCAGGAAAAAUCUUUUUGGUUCAUAGAAAUGGAUUUUUCUGAAACACAAGCUGUGAACUAAACAUGUAGAAAGCUUUUGAUUGGACAUCAGGACGCGGGUUCAACUCCCGCCGUCUCCAUGA
rnacentral:tmRNA from 1 species